GGGAAGGGCAGUAGGUCAGUGGCAGAGCAUCUGCCUUGCAUGCAGAAGGUCCCAGGUUCAACCCCCAGCUUCCCCA